AGUAUUAUACUCCUCUCAUCCGUUCACAAAAAAGACCCUAGGGGUCUAUUUGAAAAUAAAGGAGAAGAGAGGCGGCUAGGGUGAAACCCUAGCGCCGCCUCCUGUUUCCACCACCUACCCCACCUAUGCUCGGUCAUGUCCCAUCAUAUUUGGCUAGUGGCGUGAGGAGAGAAGGCGAAGCCAUUAAUGCUUCAUCUUUCUCUCCAUAAAUUCGGGCCAAACGAACCCUUAAAGUUUGGAGUUGGAACAUAAAGGCUUCCUAAUCCAUCGCUUGUGCCCCGAUUGCUCUCACAAAAGGUAGUAAAAGCUCAUCAUGUUGAGCCUCAUCCUGUUUGCUAGUGUCUUACCUGUUCAUAGACUUGUUAAAGAGAUUGAAAAAUCUAAUAAGGAGUGCAUCCAGUUUAGGUAUCAUAUUGCCUUCUCUUAAAUAAUUUGGUUUGUUUGAAAGUUGAAGUUGUCAGGUGUUGGACCUGGUCAGACCAUAUCUGUUCUCUAAUGGUGUUUUGAUUCCAAAACUGGUAAAUGCCAUGUGUGCUUUUUGUGGAUUCUUACUUGUUUCACUUGGCAACUUGUUUAGUCUGAUUCUUGUUGUCUCACCUAGGCCUUUCCUAUUUGAUAAAACUUGGCACCUUGGGGCUGUAAUAAGGUAUAUUGAAACAAAGGUUUUAAAAGGGGGUGACUCUGGGGGGAAGAGCUUUAACUUGAUCAAGGUGCCUCACUUAGCUGUGUUUUUUUGUGUGGUUGUUUCUGCUUGUGGUAAAAAAUGUGGAAAUCUGUUUAGACUGCCCCUGAGUAGAACAUGUGGAGUGAGUGGCUGUGAUGUGAUUAAUUCUAAAAGAUUUCUCUAAAGGUUGCUAUAAUAAGUUAGGUUCAGGACAACUUUAGCGGCCUAUGUUUAAUGAAGAGAAAGGGACAAAUCACUUAGCUUAACAGGUUGGUUAAGGGAGAUAAUCAUUAUGUGCUUGUUCUCACCUAGCAGAUGGAGUAUGGUUUCUGAUAAAAGAGACACAGAAAGGAUUUUAGUGUUGAUAGUCUUGGCUAGGUAUGUAUGCAUGCGUGUGUGGUCCAUGGGCCAGGGCUAUGUGCAGGAAAACCUUUUCUUUAAGAACUUGUCACCUAGUUACAAUACAAGGUAAAUAAAGGAUAAAAGAAAGAAGGAUGGUAAGAUCUCUGGUAUUUUGUUGCAAAUGUUGCCUAAACUUGUCCUUGUGUGGUCUGUUACUGGACACUGUGCUGUUUUCCUUGACAUUAAGAGGUGAGUUUCCUUUAAAGAAAGUGGUAAUAAGGCUAAAAUGAUUGUAUUAAAAUCUGUUGAUUGUUUCUUUGUGUAGAUUCAUCCUGAUGAACAGAACAUGUGUGCCCUUUCCUGUGACCUACAAUGUGAUCAAAAAACAAAGUAUCUCUUCCCUCAUUUUGAGUUUAGUUUGAAGUUGUCAGGGAAGACUAGUUUGUUCCCACCUAUUAUGUGCCCAUGAAAUGCUUGUUCGCAGUGCAUCAUAUCUUAACUUGAUAACCAAGGCUCAUUUAUAUAACUUUGACAUAGUCUCAUGAUUUAACCAGCCUGUUAUCGUGUGCUAUAUGUCAUAAGAGGGUCUUUUCUCAGUAUUUACAUUUGGAUUUGAUAACAAAGGCCUCUAAAACUUGAACAUAGUCCUCAUGAAUCAGUUAGUUUGCUAUUUCUUGUUGUGUAUUUAUGAAAAGAUUGUUACCAGUAUUUAUAACUAGCUUUGGUCAUAAAGAUCCUUUAGACCUGGACCAUA